UUUAAUCAUUUUCUGCGUAGAAUAUUUCUUAUAGACAUCGCUACAUUCUAUACGCUUACAUACUAUUUAUACAGGACUAUUUUUAUUUACAUCUCAACGGACCGAACUUAAGGACAAAUAAAAGAUAUAUAGAAGGCAAAAUGGGAAAAAGUACAGACAGACUUAAAAUCGUUGGCUUGAAUCUAUUUGGGAGUAAUGGAAAGCAGAUUCAAUCGGACCGGAGAUCGUUUUUGGAUGAUGUAAUCUGGCAUAAUGAGCCCGAUAUUUUGUUUCUCCCAGGAGACAAUCUAGAUAUGACCUCAUUAGCACUUGAAGAUUAUGGCCCGGCAAAAGUGACUUUCAACUUGGACACUGUGCUUCUGUAUGAUACUAAAAGAUUGCAGUUACCAACGCCACAUUGGUAUGGCCGAAUACCAUACUUUGAGGUUCCUGGUAUAGAUAAGGACAAAUUGAUGUACCCAUUGAUGGAUAUCCUGUCAACACAACCAACUUCACAUGUUGUCAAGCAAUUUCAUUGCAUUAGUUAGCACUGGGAACUUACACGUCAAACGAAUUCUCAGAAGGAUCUAUAUCAAUUUGCUCGACAAAACUUAUGGCUUGCGCAAUACCUGGCAUUUCUUUCAGGGGUAGCAGUGCUGAUUGGAGGAAAUUUUAAUUUAUCACUAUCGCAAAUAAAACCACUGGUGGAGGAGCAUAACAAUCAAAUCCAGGGGGUAAUUAAAUUUGUCAAGCCAAUGUUCAGACAAAUGAGGUAUGAUGAUGAUAUGACUAAUAAUAUUCAUCGACCGGAACGUAAACUUCGUCAGCUUAGAGUUCACGAGUGCACAUCUAAAUAUGUCAGCAAACAAAGAGCAGAGUAUUUCGUUGCAUCAAAACAAAUGAACCUUUGCAAUAUUAAAAUGAUGGCAGAAUCCAAAGUUCCAAUAAGAUGUGCCCAACCAGAAGUGACGAAACCAAAAACUGGAAGUUACUGCUCAUUAUCCGUCAAGACAGCAGAAUUGUGUACUCCAGCAACUCCUACAAAACACAGUGGUGGCUAGAUUGAUAUUUUUUAUGAAAAACAAAAUAAUUUCUUAUUAAUAUUUUAAUCAAUUA